rnacentral:lncRNA from 1 species
CGCACAGAUAUUGAGGAGCACAAGAUUCAUCUUGUAAGACUUCCAUUUCAGUUCUAAAUGGAUUAAUGAAUGUGGAUCCUAUGGCACAACUCGCUUGUAUUAGGCAGACUUUGUAUAUGAUACUUAUAAGAUCAAAUCUCUUACUAUCCACCAAAUUAUUCUUCAGAUAGCCAGAAGUUCAGUAGUGCACGGCUUCAUUGACAAUGUCACAUCACUGUAGCAGAAUAACGGCCGACUUUAUGAAACAAAACCAACAUAACAUCUGUGAUCAGCAUCUGGACAUUUAUAAAUUAGACGUCAUUGAAGUUAAUUGGCGGUCGCAAUGCUUACACUGUAUGCAGCAAAUAUCCUUGCAAGUCUGUCUGCAAUCUGAUCACUCAAGAAAGGAUUCAUCACACAGUCUCCAGAGGAGAAGGGAAGAAAAUUAACAGGCUUAUUUCUGGGGGUAGAGGAGAGAAAUAAAAAUAAAACCUAAUUGAUGAGGGUCCCAUGGGCAAGAGCUGAACUGGAGAUGUGUACAACUAGCAGCAACAGUUGUGGAAAAAGUACAAGGCAAAUAGCUUU